ACAAAAUGUAAAAAAUAUUCCUUAAUAAGGAAUUUGAAAUGAUUUAUACUUGAUUCUUAAGUAUAUUUAAACAAAAUACUUUCCCUCAAGUAGGAUUUUACUGGGUACUUUUUCCACCACUGGUACCAUGUAAGAGUAAAUGUUGUAACAUAGCCGACAGCCAGACAACAUCAUCAAGGUGUGUUUGAAGUCAUGAAAGGUGACUAACGGUUAUUCUGAUUGACUAAAUGAAUAGCAAUUUCCUGUCAUAGUUUGACUCAACUUGUCUACACAUUCAUGGUGAAUGUAUAGACUGCAAUCACACUUACUUAGUUGUGAUAAUUUAAUCGUCAUAGUGAAUUAACAAAAACAUUUUUCAACGGUGCUUCUGGACAGGGAAGGUGUAAUCAUUUUUCAACGGUGCUUCUGGACAGGGAAGGUGUAAUCAUUUUUCAACGGUGCUUCUGGACAGGGAAGGUGUAAUCAUUUUUCAACGGUGCUUCUGGACAGGGAAGGUGUAAUCAUUUUUCAACGGUGCUUCUGGACAGGGAAGGUGUAAUCAUUUUUCAACGGUGCUUCUGGACAGGGAAGGUGUAAUCAUUUUUAAACCAUUUGUUACCUUUCACUACCUUUAGAUAAAAAAGUACUUCAGAGUAGAACCUUAAAGUUAAAUCAAGAGAAAAUGUCACCAUUACGAUUCUUGCUGAGCUGGAACAGACCAACAGUUUUAGAGUGUUAAUAAUAAUUGUAAAAAGGUUAGGAAUAAUAUUUUUUUUUUUUUAAAGGUUUCAAAUCAUUUCACAUUUUGUUCCCACAUUCAUUCAUUUUAUGGUUUUCGCACGUUAUUCCAAAUGCUUGUAUCACAAGAAUCUAGUUGUGUUUUUCGUUUUUAUGAGUGUUUAUGUCCGCUUGUUCUCAUGUUGUCUUUUGUGUCGUCGUCGCCACCUUCCCAUUAACACACACCAAGCCCCUCCAUAAGCCCCUACACAUAUUUUGCAGAUGUUAGCAGGUGUAGCAAAAUGUUGAUGUUCUUCCAACAGUUCUU